AACGAACGCUGGCGGCGUGCCUAACACAUGCAAGUCGAGCGAUUCUCUUCGGAGAAGAGCGGCGGACGGGUGAGUAACGCGUGGGUAACCUGCCUCAUACACAUGGAUAACAUACCGAAAGGUAUGCUAAUACAGGAUAAUAUAAGAGAUUCACAUGGAUUUCUAUCAAAGCUCCGGCGGUAUGAGAUGGACCCGCGUCUGAUUAGCUAGUUGGUAAGGUAAUGGCUUACCAAGGCGACGAUCAGUAGCCGACCUGAGAGGGUGAUCGGCCACAUUGGAACUGAGACACGGUCCAAACUCCUACGGGUGCUG
rnacentral:rRNA from 1 species